rnacentral:rRNA from 1 species
UGGGGAAUAUUGGACAAUGGGCGCAAGCCUGAUCCAGCCAUGCCGCGUGAGUGAUGAAGGCCUAGGGUUGUAAAGCUCUUUCACCGGUGAAGAUAAUGACGGUAACCGGAGAAGAAGCCCCGGCUAACUUCGUGCCAGCAGCCGCGGUAAUACGAAGGGGGCUAGCUUUGUUCGGAUUUACUGGGCGUAAAGCGAACGUAGGCGGACUAUUAAGUCAGGGGUGAAAUCCCGGGGCUCAACCCCGGAACUGCCUUUGAUACUGGUAGUCUUGAGUUCGAGAGAGGUGAGUGGAAUUCCGAGUGUAGAGGUGAAAUUCGUAGAUAUUCGGAGGAACACCAGUGGCGAAGGCGGCUCACUGGCUCGAUACUGACGCUGAGGUGCGAAAGCGUGGGGAGCAAACAGG